CUGCAGGAGGGCAGGAGAGACCCUCAGUCAGUGCCUCUAGCCAGCAGUGGUUGUGUCAAACAAAAGCCUGGGGUGGCAUUCACUCUCCCAGCUUGUUCUUUGCUGGGAGUUGCUUUUCUGUUAUCCCUGUGGCUACUGAUUCCAAGAAUUGCAUCAAUGCAGCCUGAGUCACAGCAGCAGAUCCUCCUCAGCCCACUUGGAUCACAAUGCCUUUUUUUUUUUUCUUGAGAUAGAGUCUCUGCUCUGUUGCCUAGCUAGAGUGCAGUGGCAUGAUCUUGGCUCACUGCAACCUCUGCCUUCCAGGUUCAAGCAGUUCUCCUGCCUCAGCCUCUCGAGUAGCUGGUAUUACAGGUGUGUGCCACCACACCCAGCUAAUUUUUGUAUUUUUAGUAGAGACAGGGUUUCACCAUGUUGGCCAGGCUGGUCUGGAACUCCUGACCUCGUGAUCUGCCCACCUCAGCCUCCCAAAGUGGUGGGAUUACAGGCGUGAGCCACUGUGGCUGGCCUUUUGUUUUUUUUUCUUUUUUUUUUUGAGACGGGGUCUCGCUCUGUUGCCCAGGCUGGAGUGCAGUGGCACGAUCUUGGCUCACUGCAAGCUCCGCCUCCUGGGUUCACACCAUUCUCCUGCCUCAGCCUCCCGAGUAGCUGGGACUACAGGCGCCCACCACCACGCCCAGCUAAUUUUUUGUAUUUUUAGUAGAGACUGGGUUUCACCGUGUUAGCCAGGAUGGUCUCGAUUUCCUGACCUUGUGAUCCGCCUGCCUUGGCCUCCCAAAGUACUGGGAUUACAGGCGUGAACCACCGUGGCUGGCCUUUUCAACUGGGGUAGGCAGGAACUCUUCCUCUGAUCCUCAUUGCCUUAGCGGCACCAGGGUUAGAAUGGCUGCUGUUGGAGCCCACGUGUUUGGAGGUUUGGGAUCAGAUGAGAUGACCUUUCUUACCUUGAAAUUCAAGGGUUUUUUUCUUACACCUCUUGACUGCCCUGUAGACUCCCAGUAUGACAUUGAUAGAGCAUCCUUUUGGAGACCAAGAUGCAUUCCCAAAGCUAUAAACACGAACAUGUGUGUUCAGGCUUCCUCCUUAAAUACAUGUUGUCACCAAAAGCUGAUUCCUGCUUUUGUGCAAAAUGGCUCUUGGUGGGUCUGCCACUCUGAGUGAUCAGUCAUGUCAGAUGCCACUGGACCCCCACUACCCAAGUGACUUUCCCUGACUCCCCAGCCUUGGAGCUUAUGUGGGUCAAGCUGCAGUCUUUGGUGAGGGGUGGGAGAUAGAAGAAGCCAGUGCAGAAGGUCCUCUUUAUUCCCUAUUCCCUUACCUUUAGUUUUUAAAAAUGUAUCUUAAAAAUCUUCACUAUGGAAAAUUUCUGACGUACGUACAAAAUACCAUCACGAGCCCCCGCGUGUACUCAUCAUAUAUAUGAUUAACAUUUGGCACAUUUGCUUUCUGUUUUCUUUGGCUGCAGUACUUGACACUCAGUCAUAUUCACAUUUCCCUAGUGUUGCCAAUAGUCCCUUUUUAUGGUAGGUUUGUCUCCUUGUUGUUGAUACUCAUAACUUUUCUCGGUGCCUUCUCUGAAUCUCAGGGUACGGUUUUGGUAGACUUCUUUUUACCUUGUGAAUGUUCCUCUUUCCAUCCCACUGUGGUUGCAGGCUAAUGAGCUAAUAACUACUGUGUUUCCUUCUCAUUGCCUCUGAUUGCAGUUCUCUGUGCCUUCUUAUGGCAGCUUCCAUAAAGGAGGGCUUUUUCAGCCUGGAAACCAGAGUCUCUUUAACUCCCAGUUGCCACCUAGCAAUUCUUCCUUCGCAGAGGCCCCGGGCCAUUUCAUCCAUCCUACUGUUGACUACUGUUCACUACAGUUCAUGCUGUCCUCUUGCUGAGUCUUCCUGACAUUCUUGUUUCUAGUUGCAAUCACAAUCACAAAAAGCAGCUAAGAAGUAGCAAGAGCUCACUGUAUAUUAAAUACUUUGUUUAUCUUUUUUGAGACAGGGUCUUGCUCUGUUGCCCAGGGUAGAGUGCAGUGGCACAGUCUUGGCUCACUGCAACUUCUGCCUUCUGGGUUCAACCCAUCCUCCCCACCUCAGCCUCCCAAGUAGCUGGGACUACAGGUGCACACCACCACUCUUGGCCAAUUUUUGUAUUUUUCGUAGAGAUGGGGUUUCAACAUGUUGCCCAGACUGGUCUCGAAAUCCUGGGUUCAAGUGAUCCUCCUCCCUUGAUCUCCCAAAGUGCCGUGAUUUCAGGUGUGAGCCACUGUGUGCCCCACCGCCCCCCAGCUGUUAAAUACUUUAUAUGCAUUGUUCAGUCUUUGUAUUACUGCUUAAUUAAUCUUAUUACAGAGUCAAGUUUUUGUGGGAAUUUUUUGGGGUGGGAGGUGCAGGAAGCCAAUAAAUAACACCUGUCCUUUUUCCUCUCAAUUCGGAACUAUUUAAUUGAUGAUACAAGAGUCAGGCAUAUGGAGCUCAGAAUGUCGCUUUAUUUACAAGUUAAAAUGAUUGAAGAAAGUGACUUUUAACCUGUGACUAAAUGGCCCUGCUACUUUUUUUUUUUUUGUGGGGGGACUGAGUCUCGCUCUGUUGCCCAGGCUGGAGUGCAGUGGUGUAAUCUUGGCUCACUGCAACCUCCACCUCCUGGGUUCAAGUGAUUCUCGUGCCCCAGCCUCCCGAGUAGCUGGGAUUACAGGCAUGCACCACCACUCCUGGUUAAUUUUUGUAUUUUUUUUAGUAGAGAUGGGGUUUCACCAUGUUGGCCAGGCUGGUCUGUAACUCCUGAGUGCCCGCCUCAGCCUCCCAAAGUGCUGAGAUUACAGGUGUGAGCCAUCGCGCCUGGCCUACUCAUUUACUCUUGAUGUCUCCAGGCCCCUCUAGAGGCAAAGCAUUUCCAUGGAAGCACUCAGCUUCCAUGUGGUGUGGAUGUAGGCCAGAAUGCACUCCCUCUCCAAAAGACAGAUCCUAGUGAAGUGAAGCACAGCUUUCAAGGGGGUGGGGAGAAGAAAAGCCAGGACUCCUUCCGUGUGGAAGUGUGCUAGGGGAAGGGGUCUUCUCUCUGACAUGUCUCUCUUUUUCAGUCCUCUGCUCAAAAACCCUUGAGUGUCUUCUUGGUUCCUUUUUAUUUCGGUAUGUACUUUUCAGGCCGAGCCUGAUGAUAAUACCCUAAUAAAUAACCCUCUCUGCUCCAUCGCCAACCAUCCCUCCACCUCCAACAUGUGCUGGCUUGUUUGUUUGAACUACUUAAAAGUCUCUAAAACUGUCUUGGCUGCCCUGCCACUUCCCUCUACUUUCUAAUCAUUUAUGGCAUGCCUACUCUAGGCCAGGACUGUGCCUUCAAGGAGCUCACAGUCUAGGAUAGAUAGGUAAGAGCAAAUCAUUCCAGUACUUAAUGAUACGUGUUGUGGUACAAGUGGGAGAGUUAGCAGCUCAGCCUGGGGUUGCAGUGUAGAGUUCUGGACUGCCUGAGAGAAGGAAACAGUUUAGGCCUGAGGUUAGAAGAAUGCCAGGUGGACAGAAUGAAAUCGAAGAGAAUCUGGGAGAGGAGGGUGUUCUAAAUGCUCAUGAUAACUCAUGCCAGGGUCAAAGCACUUGGGGAUCUGCAGUGGUUUAGUUUGUCUCAGGCAUAUAGGACUGGAGAGGGCCUCAGGUGGUGCUGUUGGGGGAUGUCAAGAGCCAGAACCUGGAGGGUCUGCCUUGUUGCUCUGUGAAGCAGUUUGACCUAGUUGUGGUGUAGGGAGCAGCAGAAGGGUCCCCACCAUAUGCACCAUAUGGAUUUGGAAAUUGAAAACUUUCAUAAUUCAUUCUUUUAAACGCACACACAAAGGGCCGGGUGCCGUGGUGCAUGCCUGUAAUCCUAGCAGUUUGGGAGGCUGAGGCGGGUGGAUCACCUGAGGUCAGGAGUUUGAGACCAGCUUGUCCAACAUGGCGAAACCCCA
rnacentral:lncRNA from 1 species